rnacentral:rRNA from 1 species
UGGGGAAUAUUGGACAAUGGGCGCAAGCCUGAUCCAGCAAUGCCGCGUGUGUGAAGAAGGCCUUCGGGUUGUAAAGCACUUUUAUCAGGAGCGAAACGCUGUCGGCUAAUACCCGGCGGAACUGACGGUACCUGAGGAAUAAGCACCGGCUAACUUCGUGCCAGCAGCCGCGGUAAUACGAAGGGUGCAAGCGUUAAUCGGAAUUACUGGGCGUAAAGCGUGCGUAGGCGGUUUCUUAAGUCUGCUGUGAAAUCCCCGGGCUCAACCUGGGAAUGGCAGUGGAUACUGGGAGGCUAGAGUGUGUCAGAGGGUGGUGGAAUUCCCGGUGUAGCGGUGAAGUGCGUAGAGAUCGGGAGGAACAUCAGUGGCGAAGGCGGCCACCUGGGACAACACUGACGCUGAGGCACGAAAGCGUGGGGAGCAAACAGGAUUAGAUACCCUGGUAGUCCACGCCCUAAACGAUGCGAACUGGAUGUUGGUCUCAACUCGGAGAUCAGUGUCGAAGCUAACGCGUUAAGUUCGCCGCCUGGGGGAGUACGGUCGCAAGACUGAAACUUAAAUGAAUUGACGGGGUCAUAGCUGUUUCCUG